UCAACUUUGGGAUUCCCAGGGCGGAUCCCACAUUUUCAUUUUGACUCAAUUUCAGGUCCAUUUCCAAUUGUUGCAAUUUUAGUGUCAAAAUAUUCGUAAUAACGUUGUGUUUGAUAAUUCGAUAGUUUUGCGGUGAUCGGAGGUGCUUUGGAUGCAAAUAGCUCAUAUGUGGUGGAUUGGGAGCGCUCGUGUUUGGCUUUGAGGUAGGCUUCGAUUUACUUCUUGAUUGGACUUCUAAGAUAAUGCUUCAUAUAGAUUUCAUGUAAUUUUGGAUGGUAUUUUCUAGGUAUUUAGUUUUCCUCUUGUUAUUCCAUCAUUACUUAAUUCCAUAGGAGCCUUGGGUUUAUUGUAGGUGUUGGGAUCCUUAGUUUAGACCGUGGUUCACUUGUAGAGUAGAUGAUCUUGCUUUUCCUUGUAAGGAUUGAUUCGCAGUUGCCUUAGACUAGGUUGGACAUUAGAUGCUUUAAGUUGUGUUUUAUUGCCUCGCGGUUAUAAUUUUCUUCAUUUAGGGCUUAUUUUGGGUCGUUCUCCUUGCGAUGAUGCUUGUGACCUUGGUGGCUCGUCAUAGCCCUAUGUUGGUCCUAACUGUGCUCAGUCUGGGACUUGAGCGACGUGAUUGGGGUAGGGCAUCAUCCUUCGAGUUUUCUCCCUCUUUUAUUGAUUUGAAGUAUCUUCUUGACCCCUUUGCUUGUUGAUUAGUGAUGGGCAUGUUGUAUCCUUAUUGAGCUUAUGAUUAUAUUGUUGGACCUAAGGACAUGUACGAGGACCUGUUGGAUCCCAGGUUAGUACUCUCUGCUUUGGUAGCUUGGUUUCAGUGGUUGUAUAAUUAUUUAAUUUGGAGUGCCUUGUUUAAAUGUUGGUGAUGCAUGUAUUGCAUUGUUUGCUCAUUCUCAUGGAUUUUGUGGUACAAUCCCCGCCCAUGCAUUGGCAUAUUUAUCAUUCAUUAUGAAGUACUAUUUUACUCAAUUUUUAUUCUAAACUGGUUUUGACGGGAGUUGUACCACCUGAAUCACUUGACUUACUGAUUUUUGAGAUUACGAGGCGUCAGAGACGUGCUCUUUUUUCUACUUGAGAUAUUAGAGGCAUCUGGGAUGUGCUCAGUUUUCACUUGAAUAUCCGGCGCAUCGAUGCCCUUUCUUGCAUGCUUUUGGUUUUACUUACACCCCUGGGUCACUCUUGCUAGUUGGGUGGCUUAUGCCCUUGGGAGUGGACUGACUGAUUGGGCAACCUUGAUACUUGGGAUCCUCUUCGGAGUUGACACACCAUUGAGUCACUCUUGCUAGCAGGGAGGCUUAUGCCCCUGGGAGUGGACUGUGUGGCUGGGCGGCCUGGAUUGAUUUGUCACUCUUGCUAGCUGGGCUAGGAAUUGACUGGAGUCAUAUGAUUAUGGUUUUGGAUGGUCCUGUUGCACACCCAACAUCCCUAUGCAUUGCCUAUUACCAAUAUACUUGUUUGUUGUUUGUACCCUCUGGUUUAUGGGGGCCGAUUGGGUUAUGUUUGAUGUUUGUACCUUCCAGGCUUAUGAGGUCCGGUUAGGUUAUUGUUUGACUAUAUUCAGUUCUUUGCUAUUGUUUUAUUGUUACUUGGUAGGUUUUGACUUUAGAAUUGUGGUUGUGUGUCCUCCUAACACUAGCCAGUUGACUUGUUAUCUUAGUUUCUUGCGAUUAGGUUAUUGGCUUACAAUCUAGGUGCGUUCUUGACUCGACUUCUUACCCCUUAUUUUCUAUUUCUAUUCUUUAUUUCCUGAAUACCUUAGCAUAUCUUGUUUAAUUACUUAUGUUAUGCUUUCCUUAUUACUUGUUGUUUAUGCUUGUGUAAUCUUCUGAGCUCAGUUGGCUGUUGCAUGUUGAGUACCGUUUCGGUGCUCAUACUAUACUUCUUCCCCCUGCAAAUUGCUGCAGAUUGCAGUUGAGUUAUUGUCGUUGAUUUGGAGUCAUGCGGAGCAACUUAGGAUUUCAGAGAUUAGGGUGAGCUCCUAGCGUCUGGAGCUACCAAUUUUUGUCUGUUUUGGCUAGGUUUAGUCUUUAUAUUGUAUUCAAAGACAACCUGUACUUCUCUGAUAAUUGUGAAAGACUUGUACUCCUAUUUUGGAUUAGAUGCUCAACUACUAACUAAUGUCAGGUCUUGGGAUGGUUCCUGCAUUAUUUUUGUUGGUUAUCCUUUCUCUGCUUGGUUCUAAGCUCUUACUUCUUAUUGUUGGCAUCCGCUUGGUAGUCCGUCGCUCAUGGCUCCGAGCUACGGGUUAGGCUUACCUUCUGGUGGGGUGUAGUAGGUGCCAUCAUGACUUGAGAAAUUGGGUUGUGACAUCUCUCUUAUCAUCUAAAUGUACAACAUUGGUGAAAUUGUAGUGCAAAUCGUCAUCGACCUAUUCAUUUUCAUUCAUCAAACUAUCAACUAAUGUCAUUCCUAAAGAUUUGUACAACUCCUCCCUUACCCACUCAUAUCUAUUUUCUUGGUUCAUAUACAUGUUUGUAGGAUCAUCUAUUGC
rnacentral:lncRNA from 1 species